rnacentral:rRNA from 1 species
GAUGAACGCUGGCGGCGUGCCUAAUACAUGCAAGUCGAGCGAAUGGAUUAAGAGCUUGCUCUUAUGAAGUUAGCGGCGGACGGGUGAGUAACACGUGGGUAACCUGCCCAUAAGACUGGGAUAACUACGGGAAACCGGGGCUCAUACCGGAUAACAUUUUGAACCGCAUGGUUCGAAAUUGAAAGGCGGCUUCGGCUGUCACUUAUGGAUGGACCCGCGUCGCAUUAGCUAGUUGGUGAGGUAACGGCUCACCAAGGCAACGAUGCGUAGCCGACCUGAGAGGGUGGUCGGCCACACUGGGACUGAGACACGGCCCAGACUCCUACGGGAGGCAGCAGUAGGGAAUCUUCCGCAAUGGACGAAAGUCUGACGGAGCAACGCCGCGUGAGUGAUGAAGGCUUUCGGGUCGUAAAACUCUGUUGUUAGGGAAGAACAAGUGCUAGUUGAAUAAGCUGACACCUUGACGGUACCUAACCAGAAAGCCACGGCUAACUACGUGCCAGCCGCCGCCGUAA